GGAUGGGAGGGCAAUCUGGCUGCCACAUCUGUCACCGCAUUGAUUGCCAGGGUUGAUCUGGCUGAUCUGGCUGGCUAGGCGGGUGUCCCCUUCUUACCUCACCGCUACGUGCGUGUCCCCUCCCAAAGCUAUGUGCUCCGUCCCAAAGGAUGGCCAUCCCCAAAGAGGAGGACCAUUCUUUGGUCAAGGGUAUUAUAGUAGCUGUGCUUUCCUGCUAGAACCUCCAAACAAAAAGGAGGGCCAGGCAAUAGGGCUUUGGAGCUCUUAGAGAAGCGCUAUAGUCCAGGGUCCCAGUGCUUUGUCAAUGAAACUGUUAAUUUUAUCAUGUCUUACUUG
rnacentral:snRNA from 1 species